UAUGUAUCUUCUCCCUCAGAUGAAAGGAGGUCGUUGCUGAAGAUGUGCAUGUCUCCACAAUCAGCCAGAGAUGGCCAGCCCUAUUCUUGUUGGAUCAGGUACAUGCAGAAUUCAGAAGAGUAACAGGAAAAGAAUUGAUGGAAACGUUCUUCCCCUCCUUGGAUGAGCACACCAGAGCACACCGCACCGCAGCUCACCACCCCACUCAAGUGACACUAAGGAGUCUGUUGGAGUACCGAGACGAGCAGACCACAGAGAUCGUUAAACAUCGGAGGGUGGUGGCUGUCAAAGGGCUGCAGUAUUACCUGGGGGAGAAAACCGAGCUUUUCAAGACCUGCCAGCCAGACGGUGUGUACGAAGCCUCAAGCCCCGUGCCAAUGGGUAUCCUGGAGAUUGUGGGGCCUCCGGGAGGCCUGGAAGCUGCGCCAUUGCUACAUCCUUACGAGCCUUGAACCCCAGACUUUCCUUUACAGCUUAUACUGUCAGCUAUUGGUGUUGCUCUGUUUUGCACUCUUUUCAAAUGUUGUGUAAUUUUUUGAAUUUGAAUUUAAAUGUUUUGUUUUGUACACAGAAAAAUAAACAUUUAAAGUAAAUUUGUCUUUAUUAGUCUUUAUUUAAUUAGGCUAUAUUUUAUGUUGAGUAUAUAUCAUUUAAAUAUUAAUUCAUGCAGUCAUUAUUAUGUUAUUCACUCAAUUAUUACUUUAUAGUUGUAAUGACUAAUAAGUCCUAGUUGAGUGAGCACAUGAUGUGGAAUAUGACAUGGU